CCCUUAGAUGUUCUGGGCUGCACACGUGCUACACUGGCAGGUUCAGCGAGCUUCAUGCCCUGAUCUGAAAGGAAUGGGAAAUCUUUUCAAAACCUGCCGUGCUUGGGAUAGAUGUUUGCAAUUAUUCAUCUUCAACGAGGAUUGCCUUGUAAGCGCACGUCAUCAGCGUGCAUUGAAUACGACCCUGUAUUCUGUACACACCGCCCGUCGCUCCUACCGAUUGAAGUUUUCGGUGAGUUGACAGGAGGAUUUUUUUGAAACUGGUUCGCCAGUGGAUUUUAGAUCCAAAUGCCAACGAAUCGAUGGCUUUAGAGGAAGGAGAAGUCGUAACA
rnacentral:rRNA from 1 species